rnacentral:lncRNA from 1 species
UUGAAUCUUAGCAUGGUAUCAAGAGCCAAGGUUUUCUUGGUGUAAAAGUUUUUUUUCAUGGCUACUAAUGCGAUUUCAGACAGUGUACCAGCAGUUGACACACCACGUCACUCCUCUAACACUAGGGAGGCUGAGCAUUUGCAAGGAAAUGACACCUUUUGUGCACCAGCAGUUCACUACUUCUCUAAAUAUGAUACCAUCAAACUUGCUUCACACAAUUUUCUUUUAUGGAAG